rnacentral:rRNA from 1 species
UACGAAGGGUGCAAGCGUUAAUCGGAAUUACUGGGCGUAAAGCGUGCGCAGGCGGUUUGUUAAGUCUGCUGUGAAAUCCCCGAGCUCAACUUGGGAAUUGCAGUGGAUACUGGCAAGCUGGAGUACGGUAGAGGAAGGUGGAAUUCCCGGUGUAGCAGUGAAAUGCGUAGAGAUCGGGAGGAACACCAGUGGCGAAGGCGGCCUUCUGGACCAGUACUGACGCUCAUGCACGAAAGCGUGGGGAGCAAACAGG